GUGAAUCAUCGAAUUUUUGAACGCAAAUUGCGCUUCCUGGCAUCCCGGGAAGUAUGCCUGUUUGAGGUUCAGUAUUAAUUAUACUCGGUUUAGUUACAAAUUGUGACGUUUUCGGAGUUUGGGCUUUCUUAACAUUUUUGGUUAAGAGACUUAAAAUUGACCUUUUUUACGCAUUUUUAAACAAACAUAUAUUUUUUUUAUUCGUCUAUUCUU
rnacentral:misc_RNA from 1 species